rnacentral:tRNA from 1 species
GGCUCGUUGGUCUAGGGGUAUGAUUCUCGCUUAGGAUGCGCGAGGUCCCGGGUUCAAAUCCCGGACGAGCCC